rnacentral:misc_RNA from 1 species
GAUGAAGAACGCAGCGAAAUGCGAUAAGUAAUGUGAAUUGCAGAAUUCAGUGAAUCAUCGAAUCUUUGAACGCACAUUGCGCCCUUUGGUAUUCCGAAGGGCAUGCCUGUUCGAGCGUCAUUUCACCACUCAAGCCUGGCUUGGUAUUGGGCGCCGCGGUCGAUCCGCGCGCCUCAAAGUCUCCGGCUGAGCUGUCCGUCUCUAAGCGUUGUGAUUUCAUUAAUCGCUUCGGAGUGCGGGCGGCCGCGGCCGUUAAAUCUUUCACAAGGUUGACCUCGGAUCAGGUAGGGAUACCCGCUGAACUUAAGCAUAUCAAUAAGCGGAGGA